UUACACAUUUCCGCUUCUUUCGCUAUAUAUUUGUUUUCGUACUUCUUCUACUUCGUACUUAUAAUGAGAAUGCUCCUCGAGUAGGGAGCGAACCCACGAACUCCCGAUCGCUAGGCGGACACCUCAUCCACUACACCACCGCGAUAGUAUAUACGGAUGCCCACUGUAUAUUUAUUUUUGGCAUAGAUUUUACUUUAUUACCCAGUGUACAUAGCUUUAUAAUUAUUUUUCAAUUGUAAACACAAACCUGAAAACUAUCACUCAAUUUCAGAGUGAACAGCAUUUGAUUGUGUAGCCCCAAGAUAGACAAAGUUAUCAAGAAAUGGACGGACUUUAAGACGCACAACAACAACCAUGUGUGAAUGAUGAGAUCUCAUCCAUCACAUCAGUUGAACAAAAGUUGGAAAUCCGCGAAACAGCGCAUGUGAGGCCCAGUCAUUUGAGUGGAUAGUGUUCCACUUCAUUGUUCCCUAGCUGUAGAGUUGUUGGAGAAAACCCUGUAUUGUUAUGUUACAAAGAUAAUUAAAUAAAGGAGUAGAAUUUA